rnacentral:SRP_RNA from 1 species
GCUGGGUGUGGUGGCGUGCACCUGUAGUCCCAGCUAUUCGGGAGGCUGAGGCAGGAGGAUUGUUUGAGCCCAGGAAGUUGAGGCCACAGUGAGUGGUGAUUGCACCACUGCACUUCUAGCCCUGGGCAACAGAACAAAGAUCCUGCCUCUG